AGGCCCUUCGGGGUACACGAGCGGCGAACGGGUGAGUAACACUUGAGCAACCUGCCCCUGACUCUGGGAUAAGCGGUGGAAACGCCGUCUAAUACCGGAUACGACCCGCCACCUCAUGGUGGAGGGUGGAAAGUUUUUCGGUCAGGGAUGGGCUCGCGGCCUAUCAGCUUGUUGGUGGGGUAACGGCCUACCAAGGCGAUUACGGGUAGCCGGCCUGAGAGGGCGACCGGCCACACUGGGACUGAGACACGGCCCAGACUCCUGCGGGAGGCAGCAGUGGGGAAUAUUGCGCAAUGGGCGAAAGCCUGACGCAGCGACGCCGCGUGGGGGAUGACGGCCUUCGGGUUGUAAACCUCUUUUACCACCAACGCAGGCUUCCAGUUCUCUGGGGGUUGACGGUAGGUGGGGAAUAAGGACCGGCUAACUACGUGCCAGCAGCCGCGGUAAUACGUAGGGUCCGAGCGUUGUCCGGAAUUAUUGGGCGUAAAGAGCUCGUAGGCGGCGUGUCGCGUCUGCUGUGAAAGACCGGGGCUUAACUCCGGUUCUGCAGUGGAUACGGGCAUGCUAGAGGUAGGUAGGGGAGACUGGAAUUCCUGGUGUAGCGGUGAAAUGCGCAGAUAUCAGGAGGAACACCGGUGGCGAAGGCGGGUCUCUGGGCCUUACCUGACGCUGAGGAGCGA
rnacentral:rRNA from 1 species